rnacentral:tmRNA from 1 species
GGGAUGGGUUAGAGAAGCGGGUCCGGGACCAUGGCCCGGUCAAAAAAAUGGAAAGCGUUUUAAACGCCAACGAUUACGCAUACGCUGCUUAAAUAAAGCAGCCGUUUGACUGUCCUGAGCCUGCAGGGGACAGAACCAGGCGCCGACAACGCAGGCUACCGACUCUACGGUUUGUUCAGCCACAGGGAAGGGAAUAACAACUGAACUAGCAAGACCGGAUCUCGUCUCAGAGAGCAGGCCAAGCGAAACCUAAAUCUGAGGCUACACCCGUAGAUGCUCUUGCUGGUAUGCUUUCGGACAGGGGUUCGACUCCCCUUGCCUCCACCA